GAGGAGGGGGGGAAAAGAAGAAGAAGGAGGGGAAGCUGCCUUCUUCUUUUGUAACCGACUCCCAUGGGGUGACGGGCGGUGUGUACAAGGCCCGGGAACGUAUUCACCGUGGCAUUCUGAUCCACGAUUACUAGCGAUUCCGACUUCAUGGAGUCGAGUUGCAGACUCCAAUCCGGACUACGACGCACUUUAUGAGGUCCGCUUGCCCUCGCGAGGUCGCUUCUCUUUGUAUGCGCCAUUGUAGCACGUGUGUAGCCCUGGUCGUAAGGGCCAUGAUGACUUGACGUCAUCCCCACCUUCCUCCAGUUAAAAGG
rnacentral:rRNA from 1 species